GUGUUAAAGUGUACAAAAUGCGGGUUUAAGGAAGCUUGAAGGAUGCGAGAGGCUGGCGUGAUCGAGAUGUGUGGAAAUCAAGGAAAAUGGAGGAAUCGGAAGCAAAAGAUCACUCAGAGCCGUAAGCUACGCCACCAGGCCGUAGCUUACGGCCCCUAUAACCCACAAGAAGAAUGCACCGUAAAACAGGAGCACAAGGGCGUAUGGAACAACUGCUCACCGUAAGUGGCCGUAGCUUACGGCGCCGAUCGAGCCAAAAAUGUAACUGACACAUUAAAGAGCAUUUUGAAGACACUUAUUGAUGGCUAAUCAUGCUAGGUCGGUUACCACUUGAGGAAAACGAGUGGGGGACUAUUUAGGAGGCACUUGAGAGUUAAGAAAGACAUCUUUGGCAUAUCUUUUCA
rnacentral:lncRNA from 1 species